CGAAGGAUUAACAUCCGAAACGUCAUGUUCAAUUCGUCUAUACCUUCCUCAAUUUAUUUUUCGGUCGUAUUUGGACUCCCUUUUGUACUUACGUAACGGUCUUAGCCGCUGGAACACUCGACAAUCCUCGACAAUAUCCAACAACAGACCCAGUCUCAAUCAGCCAGCAACAACAGACCCAGUCUCAAUCAGCCAACAACAACAGACCCAGUCUCAAUCAGCCAACAACAACAGACCCAGUCUCAAUCAGCCAACAACAACAGACCCAGUCUCAAUCAGCCAACAACAACAGACCCAGUCUCAAAUAGAUUCAUUCACAAGUUUCUUUUAUUUGACAAUCAGUUCACUUCUAUAAAAAUAUAUCUCUGAGUCCAUCAGAAAAAAGAAACAGUUAGGGAAGUGUGUCUCUUCA